GGCCAAGUGUCUCCAUGUCUGUCUGUCUACCUUCAACAUCCUCCUCAAUAUCUUUCCUGUACUUCUCUGCUGAUUAAACUGCAAUUGUAAUAACACGAUGUCUCAAAGGAGGUGUUUGUAAGCAGGGAGGAAAGACACGUUUGUAAUUAAAGCGAUAAAUCAGAGGAGAUGCUGCUCCGCGUCGCCUCCAGAAACAGACCAGCAGCCUGCUAACAGGAGGUGAG